rnacentral:rRNA from 1 species
CACGUAGGGGGCGAGCGUUGUCCGGAAUUACUGGGCGUAAAGCGCGCGCAGGCGGCUUUGUAAGUUGGAUGUGAAAUCCUAUGGCUUAACCAUAGAACUGCAUCCAAAACUACUUAGCUAGAGUCUGGGAGGGGAAGAUGGAAUUAGUGGUGUAGGGGUAAAAUCCGUAGAGAUCACUAGGAAUACCAAAAGCGAAGGCGAUCUUCUGGAACAGUACUGACGCUGAGGCGCGAAAGCGUGGGGAGCAAACAGGAUUAGAUACCCGUGUAGUCCCU